GACGUAGGGCGCGAGCGUUGUCCGGAUUUAUUGGGCGUAAAGAGCUCGUAGGCGGCUUGUCGCGUCGUCUGUGAAAUCCCGCGGCUCAACCGCGGGUCUGCAGUCGAUACGGGCAGGCUAGAGUUCGGUAGGGGAGACUGGAAUUCCUGGUGUAGCGGUGAAAUGCGCAGAUAUCAGGAGGAACACCGGUGGCGAAGGCGGGUCUCUGGGCCACUACUGACGCUGAGAAGCGAAAGCAUGGGGAGCGAACAGG
rnacentral:rRNA from 1 species